AUGUGCUAUCCCAAGAUUGAAGGAGGUAUGGGGUUCAGGGAUUUGUACUCUUUUAACUUGGCAAUGCUUUCAAAACAGUGUUGGCGCCUGAUUACUAAUCCAGAGUCCCUUUGUGCUCGAGUGUUAAAGGCAAAAUACUAUCCAAAUGUUGACUUACUUCAUGCAACUCUUAAAAAUGGCGCUUCAUUCACAUGGCAGAGUGUGAUGAAGGGACUGGAGACCUUC
rnacentral:rRNA from 1 species